rnacentral:rRNA from 1 species
UGGGGAAUAUUGCACAAUGGGCGAAAGCCUGAUGCAGCAACGCCGCGUGAGGGAAGACGGUUUUCGGAUUGUAAACCUCUGUUUUCGGUGACGAACAAAUGACGGUAACCGAGUAGGAAGCCACGGCUAACUACGUGCCAGCAGCCGCGGUAAUACGUAGGUUGCAAGCGUUGUCCGGAUUUACUGGGUGUAAAGGGCGUGUAGGCGGAGGAGCAAGUCAGAUGUGAAAUCCCGGGGCUUAACCCCGGAACUGCAUUUGAAACUGUUCCCCUUGAGUAUCGGAGAGGCAAGCGGAAUUCCUAGUGUAGCGGUGAAAUGCGUAGAUAUUAGGAGGAACACCAGUGGCGAAGGCGGCUUUCUGGACUGACACUGACGCUGAGGCUCGAAAGCGUGGGG